GUAGAUAUAGUUUAACAAAAACAUUAGAUUGUGAUUCUAAAACAGGGGUUAGAAUCCCCUUAUCCACC
rnacentral:tRNA from 1 species